UACGGAGGGGGCUAGCGUUGUUCGGAAUUACUGGGCGUAAAGCGCACGUAGGCGGCUUUGUAAGUUAGAGGUGAAAGCCCGGGGCUCAACCCCGGAAUUGCCUUUAAGACUGCAUCGCUUGAAUCCGGGAGAGGUGAGUGGAAUUCCGAGUGUAGAGGUGAAAUUCGUAGAUAUUCGGAAGAACACCAGUGGCGAAGGCGGCUCACUGGACCGGUAUUGACGCUGAGGUGCGAAAGCGUGGGGGAGCAAACAGG
rnacentral:rRNA from 1 species